AACGUAGGUGGCAAGCGUUGUCCGGAAUUACUGGGUGUAAAGGGAGCGCAGGCGGGAGAGCAAGUUGGGAGUGAAAUCUGUGGGCUCAACCCACAAAUUGCUUUCAAAACUGUUUUUCUUGAGUGGUGUAGAGGUAGGCGGAAUUCCCGGUGUAGCGGUGGAAUGCGUAGAUAUCGGGAGGAACACCAGUGGCGAAGGCGGCCUACUGGGCACUAACUGACGCUGAGGCUCGAAAGCAUGGGUAGCAAACAGG
rnacentral:rRNA from 1 species